rnacentral:rRNA from 1 species
GACGAACGCUGGCGGCGUGCCUAAUACAUGCAAGUAGAACGCACAGUUUAUACCGUAGCUUGCUACACCAUAAACUGUGAGUUGCGAACGGGUGAGUAACGCGUAGGUAACCUGCCUGGUAGCGGGGAUAACUAUUGGAAACGAUAGCUAAUACCGCAUAAUAUUGAUUAUUGCAUGAUAAUUGAUUGAAAGAUGCUAUUGCAUCACUACCAGAUGGACCUGCGUUGUAUUAGCUAGUAGGUGAGGUAACGGCUCACCUAGGCGACGAUACAUAGCCGACCUGAGAGGGUGAUCGGCCACACUGGGACUGAGACACGGCCCAGACUCCUACGGGAGGCAGCAGUAGGGAAUCUUCGGCAAUGGACGAAAGUCUGACCGAGCAACGCCGCGUGAGUGAAGAAGGUUUUCGGAUCGUAAAGCUCUGUUGUAAGAGAAGAACGGGUGUGAGAGUGGAAAGUUCACACUGUGACGGUAUCUGACCAGAAAGGGACGGCUAACUACGUG